rnacentral:lncRNA from 1 species
ACUCCGGAAACGCAGCCUCCCCGGCUGCGGCGCAGGGCCCCCGGACCCUGCGGAACCUGGGCUGAAGCGAAAAAGCCAGCGGAAGGAACCCGGGAAAAAACAAGAAACCCAUUCCAUCCUCCUUUCCAGGCCUUCGCCCGCCCGAGACCCGCCGUCUCCCGGAGUUCUCGGGGAUAACGGGCUCAGCUGCGAAGUUCUUCCUUGAGCAUCUGAAUUUGGUUGUGGUCAGAUGGUGGAUAAAGCUGGACUUAUCUGAAUCUUCUUUCGUCACAUGUCUGGAGUGUCUGGAGUGGCUGGAAAACAGCUUCCUCACAAGUUGGCCAAGUGGCUGGAAGUCCACCUACAAUGGGCAUGCCGUCCUGGAACAUCUCUCUUCUCUAUCUUGGAUUCGGUUCUAUGAUGAAGAAAAUGAGGCAGGGAGAGGAGCAGACUGAUUCUCAAUGCUGUGCUCCCCUCCUCAGGGAAGAGCUGGGGAACCCAUGUGGGGAUAGGAAAGAGUCCCCCUAUGUUAUUGGGGACAGAAUUGUGCCCAGACAAGAAAAUGAUGUUUCCCAGCCUCCCCUGCAGCUGAGUGGGGACAACCAUUGAGAUGCCGUUGCAGGGCUCCGCUUUGGAGCGGGCAUUGGAGGAAUUCUUUGACCACCAAGCAGCCUCCAUACCUCCCUCCUACAUAACAGAGCCACCGAGAGGCUGUUUGCAUUCUGCCUGCUUUCUCUUUUUCCGUUGCAGUAGUUUAUUAAUUAGUGUGCAAAAAAUAAAAAGGAGGUAAUAACCUUAUUUAUGUGCUAGU